GGUGGUAGCUUGGUGGUAGAGCACUUGACUAGCGUGAGAAGCUCUGGGUUUGAGUCCCAGCACCACCA
rnacentral:tRNA from 1 species